CCUUUUGUAUAAUGGGUCAGCGACUUAUAUUCUGUAGCAAGGUUAACCGAAUAGGGGAGCCGAAGGGAAACCGAGUCUUAACUGGGCGUUAAGUUGCAGGGUAUAGACCCGAAACCCGGUGAUCUAGCCAUGGGCAGGUUGAAGGUUGGGUAACACUAACUGGAGGACCGAACCGACUAAUGUUGAAAAAUUAGCGGAUGACUUGUGGCUGGGGGUGAAAGGCCAAUCAAACCGGGAGAUAGCUGGUUCUCCCCGAAAGCUAUUUAGGUAGCGCCUCGUGAAUUCAUCUCCGGGGGUAGAGCACUGUUUCGGCAAGGGGGUCAUCCCGACUUACCAACCCGAUGCAAACUGCGAAUACCGGAGAAUGUUAUCACGGGAGACACACGGCGGGUGCUAACGUCCGUCGUGAAGAGGGAAACAACCCAGACCGCCAGCUAAGGUCCCAAAGUCAUGGUUAAGUGGGAAACGAUGUGGGAAGGCCCAGACAGCCAGGAUGUUGGCUUAGAAGCAGCCAUCAUUUAAAGAAAGCGUAAUAGCUCACUGGUCGAGUCGGCCUGCGCGGAAGAUGUAACGGGGCUAAACCAUGCACCGA
rnacentral:rRNA from 1 species